GAUGAACGCUGGCGGCGUGCUUAACACAUGCAAGUCGAACGGAAAGGCCCAAGCUUGCUUGGGUACUCGAGUGGCGAACGGGUGAGUAACACGUGGGUGAUCUGCCCUGCACUUCGGGAUAAGCCUGGGAAACUGGGUCUAAUACCGGAUAGGACCACAUUUUGGAUGGUGUGGUGGAAAGUUUUUCGGUGUGGGAUGAGCUCGCGGCCUAUCAGCUUGUUGGUGGGGUAAUGGCCUACCAAGGCGUCGACGGGUAGCCGGCCUGAGAGGGUGUACGGCCACAUUGGGACUGAGAUACGGCCCAGACUCCUACGGGAGGCAGCAGUGGGGAAUAUUGCACAAUGGGCGCAAGCCUGAUGCAGCGACGCUGCGUGGGGGAUGACGGCCUUCGGGUUGUAAACUCCUUUCGCUAGGGACGAAGCGUUAUGUGACGGUACCUGGAGAAGAAGCACCGGCUAACUACGUG
rnacentral:rRNA from 1 species